rnacentral:rRNA from 1 species
UAGGCAUUCCCGUAGUAACGGCGAGUGACCGGGAAGAGCUCAAAUUUGAAAUCUGGCGUCCUCAGGGCGUCCGAGUUGUAAUCUAUAGAGGCGUUUUCCGUGCCGGACCGUGUCCAAGUUCCUUGGAACAGGAUAUCAAAGAGGGUGACAAUCCCGUACUUGACACGACGACCGGUGCUCUGUGAUACGUCUUCUACGAGUCGAGUUGUUUGGGAAUGCAGCUCAAAAUGGGUGGUGAGUUCCAUCUAAAGCUAAAUAUUGGCGAGAGACCGAUAGCGAACAAGUACCGUGAGGGAAAGAUGAAAAGCACUUUGGAAAGAGAGUUAAACAGUACGUGAAAUUGUUGAAAGGGAAACGAUUGAAGUCAGUCGUGACCGAGAGGCUCAGCCGGUUCUGCCGGUGUAUUCCCCUCGGUCGGGUCAACAUCAGUUUUGUCCGGUGGAUAAGGGCGGUAGGAAGGUGGCACCCUCGGGUGUGUUAUAGCCUGCCGUCGCAUACAUCGGGUGAGACUGAGGAACGCAGCUCGCCUUUAUGGCCGGGGUUCGCCCACGUCCGAGCUUAGGAUGUUGACAUAAUGGCUUUAAACGACCCGUCUUGAAACACGGACA